rnacentral:rRNA from 1 species
CGGGUGAGUAACGCGUGAGAAUCUGGCUCCAGGUCGGGGAUAACAGUUGGAAACGACUGCUAAUACCGGAUGUGCCGAGAGGUGAAAGAUUUAUUGCCUGGAGAUGAGCUCGCGUCUGAUUAGCUAGUUGGUGGUGUAAGGGACCACCAAGGCGUCGAUCAGUAGCUGGUCUGAGAGGAUGAUCAGCCACACUGGGACUGAGACACGGCCCAGACUCCUACGGGAGGCAGCAGUGGGGAAUUUUCCGCAAUGGGCGAAAGCCUGACGGAGCAAUACCGCGUGAGGGAGGAAGGCUCUUGGGUCGUAAACCUCUUUUCUCAAGGAAGAAGAAAGUGACGUACUUGAGGAAUAAGCAUCGGCUAACUCCGUGCCAGCAGCCGCGGUAAUACGGAGGAUGCAAGCGUUAUCCGGAAUGAUUGGGCGUAAAGGGUCUGCAGGUGGAACUGAAAGUCUGCUGUUAAAGAGUUUGGCUUAACCAAAUAAAAGCGGUGGAAACUACAGAACUAGAGUGCGGUAGGGGCAAAAGGAAUUCCUGGUGUAGCGGUGAAAUGCGUAGAUAUCAGGAAGAACACCGGUGGCGAAAGCGUUUUGCUAGACCGUAACUGACACUGAGGGACGAAAGCUAGGGGAGCGAAUGGGAUUAGAUACCCCAGUAGUCCUAGCCGUAAACGAUGGAUACUAGGCGUGGCUUGUAUCGACCCGAGCCGUGCCGGAGCUAACGCGUUAAGUAUCCCGCCUGGGGAGUACGCACGCAAGUGUGAAACUCAAAGGAAUUGACGGGGGCCCGCACAAGCGGUGGAGUAUGUGGUUUAAUUCGAUGCAACGCGAAGAACCUUACCAAGACUUGACAUCCUGCGAAUCCUGGUGAAAGCUAGGAGUGCCUUAGGGAGCGCAGAGACAGGUGGUGCAUGGCUGUCGUCAGCUCGUGUCGUGAGAUGUUGGGUUAAGUCCCGCAACGAGCGCAACCCUCGUUUUUAGUUGCCAGCAUUAAGUUGGGCACUCUAGAGAGACUGCCGGUGACAAACCGGAGGAAGGUGAGGAUGACGUCAAGUCAGCAUGCCCCUUACGUCUUGGGCUACACACGUACUACAAUGCUACGGACAGAGGGCAGCAAGCCAGGGAUGGCAAGCGAAUCCAGAAACCGUAGCUCAGUUCAGAUCGAAGGCUGCAACUCGCCUUCGUGAAGGAGGAAUCGCUAGUAAUUGCAGGUCAGCAUACUGCAGUGAAUUCGUUCCCGGGCCUUGUACACACCGCCCGUCACACCAUGGAAGUUGGUCACGCCCGAAGUCAUUACCCCAACCGAAAGGAGGGGGAUGCCUAAGGUAGGACUGGUGACUGGGGUGAAGUCGUAACAAGGUA